rnacentral:rRNA from 1 species
CAGUCGCCGCGGUAAUACGAAGGGGGCUAGCGUUGUUCGGAAUUACUGGGCGUAAAGCGCACGUAGGAGGACAUUUAAGUCAGGGGUGAAAUCCCGGGGCUCAACCCCGGAACUGCCUUUGAUACUGGGUGUCUAGAGUAUGGAAGAGGUGAGUGGAAUUCCGAGUGUAGAGGUGAAAUUCGUAGAUAUUCGGAGGAACACCAGUGGCGAAGGCGGCUCACUGGUCCAUUACUGACGCUGAGGUGCGAAAGCGUGGGGAGCAAACAGGAUUAGAUACCCCGGUAGUCCCUGUCUCUUAUAC